rnacentral:rRNA from 1 species
AUUGAACGCUGGCGGCAGGCUUAACACAUGCAAGUCGAGCGGGGGAAGGUAGCUUGCUACUGGACGUAGCGGCGGACGGGUGAGUAAUGCUUAGGAAUCUGACUAUUAGUGGGGGACAAGAUCUCGAUAGGGAUGCUAAUACCGCAUACGUCCUACGGGUGAAAGCAGGGGAUCUUCGGACCUUGCGCUAAUAGAUGAGCCUAAGUCGGAUUAGCUAGUUGGUUGGGUAAAGGCCUACCAAGGCGACGAUCUGUAUCGGGUCUGAGAGGAGGAUCCGCCACACUGGGACUGAGACACGGCCCAAACUCCUACGGGAGGCAGCAGUGGGGAAUAUUGGACAAUGGGGGGAACCCUGAUCCAGCCAUGCCGCGUGUGUGAAGAAGGCCUUAUGGUUGUAAAGCACUUUAAGCGAGGAGGAGGCUACUCUAGUUAAUACCUAGGGAUAGUGGACGUUACUCGCAGAAUAAGCACCGGCUAACUCUGUGCCAGCCGCCGCAGUAA